GACGAAUGCUGGCGGCGUGCUUAACACAUGCAAGUCGAACGAUGAAGCCUAGCUUGCUAGGUGGAUUAGUGGCGAACGGGUGAGUAAUACGUGAGUAACCUACCUUUAACUCUGGGAUAAGCCUGGGAAACUGGGUCUAAUACCGGAUACGACCAAUCUCCGCAUGGGGUGUUGGUGGAAAGCGUUAUGUAGUGGUUAUAGAUGGGCUCACGGCCUAUCAGCUUGUUGGUGAGGUAACGGCUCACCAAGGCGACGACGGGUAGCCGGCCUGAGAGGGUGACCGGCCACACUGGGACUGAGACACGGCCCAGACUCCUACGGGAGGCAGCAGUGGGGAAUAUUGCACAAUGGGCGCAAGCCUGAUGCAGCGACGCCGCGUGAGGGAUGACGGCCUUCGGGUUGUAAACCUCUGUUAGCAGGGAAGAAGAGAGAUUGACGGUACCUGCAGAGAAAGCGCCGGCUAACUACGUGCCAGCAGCCGCGGUAAUACGUAGGGCGCGAGCGUUGUCCGGAAUUAUUGGGCGUAAAGAGCUUGUAGGCGGUUUGUCGCGUCUGCUGUGAAGGCCGGGGCUUAACUCCGUGUAUUGCAGUGGGUACGGGCAGACUAGAGUGCAGUAGGGGAGACUGGAAUUCCUGGUGUAGCGGUGGAAUGCGCAGAUAUCAGGAGGAACACCGAUGGCGAAGGCAGGUCUCUGGGCUGUAACUGACGCUGAGAAGCGAAAGCAUGGGGAGCGAACAGGAUUAGAUACCCUGGUAGUCCAUGCCGUAAACGUUGGGCACUAGGUGUGGGGGACAUUCCACGUUUUCCGCGCCGUAGCUAACGCAUUAAGUGCCCCGCCUGGGGAGUACGGCCGCAAGGCUAAAACUCAAAGAAAUUGACGGGGGCCCGCACAAGCGGCGGAGCAUGCGGAUUAAUUCGAUGCAACGCGAAGAACCUUACCAAGGCUUGACAUAUACUGGACCGCAUCAGAGAUGGUGUUUCCCUUCGGGGCUGGUAUACAGGUGGUGCAUGGUUGUCGUCAGCUCGUGUCGUGAGAUGUUGGGUUAAGUCCCGCAACGAGCGCAACCCUCGUUCUAUGUUGCCAGCACGUUAUGGUGGGGACUCAUAGGAGACUGCCGGGGUCAACUCGGAGGAAGGUGGGGAUGACGUCAAAUCAUCAUGCCCCUUAUGUCUUGGGCUUCACGCAUGCUACAAUGGCCGGUACAGAGGGUUGCGAUACUGUGAGGUGGAGCUAAUCCCUAAAAGCCGGUCUCAGUUCGGAUUGGGGUCUGCAACUCGACCCCAUGAAGUCGGAGUCGCUAGUAAUCGCAGAUCAGCAACGCUGCGGUGAAUACGUUCCCGGGCCU
rnacentral:rRNA from 1 species